AUUUUGACGGAGAGUUUGAUCCUGGCUCAGGACGAACGCUGGCGGCGGGCCUAACACAUGCAAGUCGAACGAACUCGACCUUCGGGUCAUAUAGUGAGUGGCGAACGG
rnacentral:rRNA from 1 species